rnacentral:misc_RNA from 1 species
GAGAGAGAGAGAGAGACAUACCUGUUGUUGAGAGAAGUGAGCUAGGUUGUGUAUUUCUCCUUUUCUCCUUUUUGCUUUCUAUUUGCGUGAGGUAGCCAAGACCAGGUGGGAAUUUUUUUUAUUUGGGUUACAAAACAAUUAAAAAAGAAAAAAAAAAAAACCUUUACUACCAUAAACAACCAUUCGGCAAAAUUUCUAGAGACUGCAAAGCAGUUGACAUUAAAAAUUAAAAUGGAACUGCAUAGGGUAACGCAUAGACACCAGCUUCGGGCAAGUAGCAAGCACUUGGCCAGAGGGUAGAGCUUUCAAUGAAUGGUUCAUCUAGGUGAAAUUUGAUUCUUUUGGAUGGAUUAGUUUCUUGCCUUGUUGUCUCAAAAAGCCAUUCUUCAUUGUCAAAAUUGGUUUGCUCAAACUCAAGUCCUGGUGGAACCCAAUCCUCAAUGAACUUGAAUAUUGAUUCCACCGUCUGCACCUCCUUCCUACCGUGUGACAACAUACCAGAAGUUGUUUUCACACAGUGGCCAGCAGAGUUCUCUUGCCCUUUCAAAUCUGUGCUCGUCUCCGAGCUGAUUCCACUAUAAUGUUCUUUACCAGGUAUUUGGAUAUUUUCCUUCUGCUGCAGAAGAGUGUCUGACCUCCCAGAAGUAGAACACAACUGCUCUCCAAUGGCAGAUGCAUAGGGAUCCCUCUGUUUUUGCAUGGGUAGCUGAAUUCGUAGUACCAAAUUCCCUGUUUGGUUUUCAUAGCAAUUCAAAAAUUACUUAUCUUUUGGAAAUUAUGGAAUUCAUCUACUCAUGAAUAUCAAAGGAAUGAAAAGGUUAAGACUCACUACUUUUGGUGCCAUUACAUGCAGAAUUAUCUCUUUUUCUCUUGUUGCUGCUCCGAGUGCUGUCUGAUGAAGUAAGGUUCUGAGAACACACAGGCUGGUCAUGCUCUUCUGUCAAAUCACUCCUUUCACCUUCCUCCUCUUUUCCCUUUGGAGGCAGUCUUUUAUCCAGUUGCUUAUAUGUAACCUCACCAUAACAGGCUCCCUUCUCCUCUUUCCUGUGCUUUUUCCUCCCUUUCUUCUCCUUCCUUUUCUUUUUAUCAUGUUCUGAUAUGGCCUUCCCCUUGUCCCUCUGGAGCUUUGGUGUACCAAAAUAACAAUUUUAGAAUAGAGGGACAGGGAAGACCAAAGAAUAUGAAUGACCAAACUAAUGAAAGUAGGGAAUCUUCAAAGCAACAAGAAAAUCACUUGCCAAUUUAUCCCCAGAAAGGAUAAGUUACAAUGAGAAAAGAAAAACUCAUAUAACCAGGUGGCUGUUAAGAAUUUAAGAUCACAAGAUCCAGCUUUCUAGAAUCUGGAAAAAAUGAACAAAAAAUAAGUCUCAAGACCGUCUAGCCACAACUAUUUUAAGGAAAUCUUUCAUAUAGAUGAAAAGCUAUAAAUUUUUUACCAGCCUAAAACACAAAAAUAGACUAGAAUCUUUAGCCAUGUGAAAUUGGAAACCUUAAAAUGAAUUAAAGUUAAUCAAUUCUUAAGUAAUGUUGAGUCCAUUAGAAUCAAACUGAAUCAGGGCAACCAAUGACUCGAAGUAAAAGAAAUCGGUUCAUUAUCACCAAGUAAAACCAUCUAUAUCUCCUGUGUUUUCUAUUCAGUCUUCACAAUAUUAUCAAGACAAUUGACAGAUCACAACGCCUGUAAACAUUAGAUGAAAUUCAAGACAUUCAAUUUAUUGCACCAAUCUAAACAAUUACAACACCUCCUUCACACCCCCCACCCCCCCUCAAAAGAAAAAAAAAAUUAGUACCAAAUUGAAACAACACCUCUCUCUCUUCCCCUCAAACGAAACAAUCUACUUCUAUACAGCUGGAUGCAUAAGAUCACACUAGAAUCAAUGAUCUUCCCAAGUCUAAACCAAUCCAACGCACAAAUAUAUACACGAAACAAAUUCCAUUAUUCAAUACCUUCCGUUCAAGAAUCGACCCCUAAAUGCAAAACCUAGGGUUAACCUGACCUAAGUCCUAAAGUUUUUCAAUUGACAAUAAAAGCAGUUGAGCACGACUCAAAAACCAAAUUUGCUCAACGAACCUUAAUUGAUUCGCUCAAGGGCAUGACCGCGGCCUCACCGUGCGCUCCGUUCCUCAGGAAACACGGAGGCGGGUAAGGAAAGCACCGUGACAUUUUUCCGGUUAUCUGCCCUGGUUUUUACAAAGAAAACGGUUCAAGAAACUUUUCUUCUUCCUCCUCUUCUUCAAUAAAAGUACCCCUAAGGUUUUCUAAUCAGGUCGCGGCCAAGAAACCCGCGUUCUAGGGUUUUUUAAGAGCGAAAAACUUUUAACUCCAAGCCUCUCGCCCUUCAAUGUUUG